UGGCUGUGAUGACUAAAAGGCCGGACUUACAUCUGCCCUGAAAUUUUCUUUAUUUCAGUUGGUAGUAGAAUGAUGCGGCUUGUCAUAAGGUAUUUAGCUGAGCCAG